GGAUGUGAGGGCAAUCUGGCUGUGACAUCUGUCACCCCAUUGAUCACCAGAGUUGAUUCAGCUGAUCUGGCUGGCUAGGCGGGUGUCACCCUCCUCCCUCAUCACUCUAUGUUCGUCCCUCGUGAAGCUGCACAAUCAGUCAAAGAGGAUGACAAUCCCCGACUGAGGAGGACCAUUCUUCAGUCAAAAGUAUAUGAGUAGCUGUGCUCCCCUGCUAGAACGUUCAUGCAAGCUCUCAGGAAAACUGAACUGUAUGUCCACACAGAGAUUUACAUAAGUGUUCAUAGCAGCAUCAUUCAC
rnacentral:snRNA from 1 species